rnacentral:lncRNA from 1 species
ACUCGCAAAUACAUCACCUCCACGGAGGCUGACUCAUGAAAUUAGAACACAACAUCAUAAAGGAGCAGAGUGAAGGAGAGCUAGACUAGAACCACUUCCUGUCACUAAGCAUUCCAGCCCAUUGGUUCUUUCCUUGCUGACCAUGCCACAGUGGACCAGCAGAGGCUCUGCAACCUUCUGAAGUCUAAAGGAAGAAGUUCAAAAAGAGGAGGAAGUGGGUAGUUCAUUUCCUGUUUCCGGGUGCCUCUUAAUGACUGUGUGAGAGCUUGGAUCACUUCUCCUCUCUGGUUCCCAAACCACAAAUGGGAAAAACUGCCGUCCUGCAAUAGCCAUGAAACUCUCUGGUUUACAUCAUUAAUGAUAUACAAAAGAAAAAUCUCUUUGGCUCGAUUUCAAUCUCUAUACCACUGAACAAUAAGCACCAAUAAUGCACAUUAGAAAAUACCAUUGGUGGAG